AAUUGAAUUUUUACAUAAUGGGACUCAAAAUAGGAGUUAAAUUGUUAUAUUAAUUUAUAUUAUAAUAAAUAAAACUGAAAAUAUUAAAGUUGCACUAAUGUGUAAAAAUGAAAAGACUACAAAUCAACUUAAUGGCCCAGCCAAAUAUAUAAAGCCCAUUAUUUACUUGAUGAUAAGUCCUUUAAUAGACUUAUCUUUCAGCACAUUUUUUACAUAAAAAAAUCCGACGCGGGAUUCCUUUCAUGUUUUUAUAGUCAAAGUAUUGGAGCUUUAGUAAUGGAUUCCUUUUAUUUCAAUUUGAAAAACUUCAAUCACAAUAGAGAAGGAAGGUCUACAAAUAAUGUAGUUAUGUUUUUUUCUCAAUUAUUCAAGUAUUUACUUUUCAAAAUGAAUAAGAAACAUAUGUGUUGCAAGGACCUUCCUUCUUUAUUAUUUCUUAUUCAUUUUGAAAAGUAAAUUGAAGCUUUUGUAUAGCGUGUCUGAUACUUACACCGUUUUUUGUAGCGUGGAGCUUUCUAUUCACAAGAUGCAUAGUUUGCUAUCUCAUAUCCCCGCUAUAGAAGCUUCAAUUGAUUAUUCGGACUAUGAAAUGUGGAAUGAUUCAGAUUAGUUCGGGUCGAUUGGAGCAGUGGAGAAUUGAUGAUGCGGGCUGCCAAGUGAAUAAAGAAUAGA